GCCGGAGUGGCGGAACUGGCAGACGCCCAGGACUUAAAAUCCUGUGGGAGGCGACUCCCGUACCGGUUCGAUUCCGGUUUCCGGCACCA
rnacentral:tRNA from 1 species